GGGUGGGAUCAUGCAGCCGUACAUGAAGUAGAACUGGAUGAACUCUGCGCUGGUUAGGUUCAGAUCCACUGUCACCAGCUGACGGCUGCAGCCCUGCACGAAGAUGUGAAGAAAGUUGACUUUCUUCUAAUGAAAGUGCAGCUCCAGAGGCCACAGCUCCACACACAGUGCUGAGUUUACCACCAGUGAGCGUCUGCCAGUGACUGAGGGAGGGAGCUCGACUGAAGCUGUCCUUUAACUGUGAGGGCAGAGGACCCACAGGCUCGUCACAGUACUCCCCACUCCACUCAGGGUCACACCUGUGGAAGAACAGCAGAUUCAGACACAACAAACAGGUUCAAAUAGAGGAAAAGGAGCUCUGCUGGCAGCGUCCAUGUCCCGAGCACAUGUCUGGACAGCCGUCUCCGAUGUAGAGAUUAUCCAGAGCCCAGGUCUGCUGCUUGUCAAAGGGAGCCUGCUGGAACCACCUGAACCUCGUGGCUGGAGAUCUGAAGACAUGACACCAGUUUGAAGGAUGAACCUCAGUCCCAGUCUUGACUGAAGGCGUAUGCCAGCUGAUAAACUCACAGAGCGAGGAAUGCUCUCACCUCUUUGACCAGAUGCCAGGUGAGGCCGUGAUUGGUGGAGAACUCCAGACGGACUUGGGUAUCAAUGUGAGGGGAAGGCUCACGGCCGCAACCCAUGACCAGCGAGAACUGCAGGCUGUAGGAGGCUCCGAUUUGCAUUGACUGAGUCUCAACAUAGCGGAUACUAGAGCCAGGGCUGGGCUCACCAGAGAAACUGGUGAAAAGGUGGGAGAGACGCCACAUUUAAAAUCAUUUCUAUAAUAUACUUUAAAGUCAUUCUC